UACAGAGGUGGCAAGCGUUGUUCGGAAUUACUGGGCGUAAAGGGCGCGUAGGCGGUUCGUUAAGUCCUGUGUGAAGUCCCCCGGCUCAACUGGGGAACUGCACAGGAAACUAGCGGGCUUGAGUUCGGGAGAGGGAAGCGGAAUUCCGGGUGGAACGGUGAAAUGUGUUGAUAUCCGAAGGAACACCGGUGGCGAAAGCGGCUUACUGGGUCUCAACUGACGCUGAUGCACGAAAGCCAGGGUAGCAAACGGG
rnacentral:rRNA from 1 species